GACUAAAAGAUGUCAACUCGGCCAGGCAGAACCAAGAAAGUGGUGAAAUGCUCUAUAAUGGACAGGACUUUAAACUGAAUAACUUGGAGGUUGGUGCUCUCUGCGAUGAUCUUAUAUCAGACCAUAGAACCUUUUCUACCAUAAUGCCUGUAUCACAAGACUUUGUUCAAAGUGUAAAUGGUCAGUCUCCACAUGCGGACUCUAGUAUAUCUGGCUGUGGUGAUGCCGUGGUAGAAGUAGAUGCUCCCAGCCACAGUGAGUUUAUGGAGCCCAGAGCAUCACAACCAGUCUUAACUCCACCACAAAGCUAUUCUGAUCCCAGUUAAUUUAUUGAAGAGGUUGGAAUCAGAUGGUGAGGAAGGCUUAGAUUUCAGAUUGGUGUACAACUUGCAAUUUCCCCAAGAGGCCACCUUGACACCUGAAAUGUGCCCAGAACAUGGAGUAUUUGACCCAAGUUGGAAUUAUAACAACCCCCCAGUGCCUAAACCAAGAAAGGCAUCACUUCCUGUGAUUGACAAAGGGCUAGACUCAACAUCUCAAUGGAAACCAUGUAUUUAACCCUCUGCCCUGAUAGUGAUUCAGACCCUGACCCUAGACUCGCACCAGAAGUCAUGCCAGAGUUCAGCACUCAUCCGAAGCCUCAAACCUGUGAAGGACCACAGCAAUAUCCACAACAACAAACCCCUCACAGCUCAACAGGCAUCAUUACGCAAUAACCCUUUGGAGUCCCGUGAGCAGUCCUCUCUAGACAAUUCCUCUGUUGAAUCAACAUUAACACCUGUUGACUCUGCAGGUGUUCAGAUAGAAAUCCAGACAGAAAUCCAACCUCUCCCAGAAAUCUGAGGAUAUUUCAAUGGCACAUUCUGGGUUUAAUUCUGAAGAGCUACCUCGUAUGUUUGCUGAAGUGAUAUCUGGAUCAUGUGAACCAAGCGGAGCUGAUGAGUGGAGAGAAGUAGAGCCCUGAUGGGUUUCAGAGGUGUAGGACUGCAAGGAGGGCCAUCUCUAGGUCACCUGUCAAUCAACCCAAUGUCCAAAUAACCACCAGAGACAUGACCAAUUUCAAUACUCCAAUAGUGCUGGACACAGGAUCUGGUUUGAGAAAAAGAAGGGUUUGCUGAUCAGGACCUCCCAAAUACUAUAUUUCCAAAU
ensembl:lncRNA